rnacentral:rRNA from 1 species
AUCUACCUAGUAGUGGGGACAACUCGGGGAAACUCGAGCUAAUACCGCAUACGCCUACGGGGAAAGCGGGGACCUUCGGGCCUCGUGCUAUUAGAUGAGCCUGCGUUGGAUUAGCUAGUUGGUGGGGUAAAGGCCUACCAAGGCGACGAUCCAUAGCUGGUCUGAGAGGAUGAUCAGCCACACCGGGACUGAGACACGGCCCGGACUCCUACGGGAGGCAGCAGUGGGGAAUAUUGCGCAAUGGGCGAAAGCCUGACGCAGCCAUGCCGCGUGUGUGAAGAAGGGCUUCGGGUUGUAAAGCACUUUCAAUUGGGAGGAAAGGGUCACGGUUAAUAACCGUGAGCUGUGACGUUAC